AGAGUUUGAUCCUGGCUCAGGAUGAACGCUAGCGGCAGGCUUAACACAUGCAAGUCGAGGGGUAACGAUUUCGAGCAAUCGAAAGGCGACGACCGGCGCACGGGUGAGUAACGCGUAUGCAACCUACCUCUAACAGGGGAAUAGCUCCCGGAAACGGGAAUUAAUACUCCAUAAUAUUCUGGAUUCGCAUGUUUUCAGGAUUAAAGCUCCGGCGGUUAGAGACGGGCAUGCGUGACAUUAGUUUGUUGGUGAGGUAACGGCUCACCAAGACUACGAUGUCUAGGGGGUCUGAGAGGAUGGUCCCCCACACUGGUACUGAGACACGGACCAGACUCCUACGGGAGGCAGCAGUGAGGAAUAUUGGGCAAUGGACGCAAGUCUGACCCAGCCAUGCCGCGUGCAGGAAGACGGUCCUCUGGAUUGUAAACUGCUUUUAUAUGGGAAGAAACCCCCGCUCGUGUCCGGGUCUGACGGUACCAUACGAAUAAGGACCGGCUAACUCCGUGCCAGCAGCCGCGGUAAUACGGAGGGUCCAAGCGUUAUCCGGAUUCAUUGGGUUUAAAGGGUCCGUAGGCGGGUUUUUAAGUCAGUGGUGAAAUCCUACAGCUCAACUGUAGAACUGCCAUUGAUACUGAAAACCUUGAGUGUGAUUGAAGUGGGCGGAAUGUGUCAUGUAGCGGUGAAAUGCAUAGAUAUGACACAGAACACCGAUUGCGAAGGCAGCUCACUAAGUCACAACUGACGCUGAGGGACGAAAGCGUGGGUAGCGAACAGGAUUAGAUACCCUGGUAGUCCACGCUGUAAACGAUCAUCACUCGCUGUUGGCGAUACACAGUCAGCG
rnacentral:rRNA from 1 species